rnacentral:rRNA from 1 species
GACGAACGCUGGCGGCGUGCUUAACACAUGCAAGUCGAACGGAAAGUCCCUGCUUUGGUGGGGUGCUCGAGUGGCGAACGGGUGAGUAACACGUGAGUAACCUGCCCUUGACUUUGUGAUAACUUCAGGAAACUGGGGCUAAUACCGGAUAGGAGCUCCUGCUGCAUGGUGGGGUGUGGAAAGAUUCGGCGGUUGGGGAUGGACUCGCGGCUUAUCAGCUUGUUGGUGGGGUAGUGGCUUACCAAGGCUUUGACGGGUAGCCGGCCUGAGAGGGUGACCGGCCACAUUGGCACUGAGAUACGGCCCAGCCUCCUACGGGAGGCAGAGGUGGGGAAUAUUGCACUAUGGGCGGAAGCAUGAUGCAGCAACGCCGCGCGCGGGAUGACGGCCUUCGGGUUGUAAACCGCUUUCGCCUUUCACGAAGCGUGAGUGACGGUAAUGGGUAAAGAAGCACCGGCUAACUACGUG